rnacentral:rRNA from 1 species
UACGGAGGAUCCUAGCGUUAUCCGGAUUUAUUGGGUUUAAAGGGUGCGUAGGCGUCUCAACAAGUUUUCGGUGAAAUCCUCAGGCUUAACCUGGGAACUGCCGAGAAAACUGUUGGGAUUGAGUACAGUUGAAGUGGGCGGAAUGUGUCAUGUAGCGGUGAAAUGCAUAGAUAUGACACAGAACACCGAUUGCGAAGGCAGCUCACUAAUCUGCCACUGACGCUGAGGCACGAAAGCGUGGGGAU